UACGGAGGGUGCAAGCGUUAUCCGGAUUCACUGGGUUUAAAGGGUGCGUAGGUGGCGGGGUAAGUCGGAUGUGAAAUCUCCGAGCUCAACUCGGAAAUGGCAUUGGAAACUACCUUGCUCGAGGGUUGGAGGGGGGACUGGAAUACUUGGUGUAGCAGUGAAAUGCGUAGAUAUCAAGUGGAACACCAGUGGCGAAGGCGAGUCCCUGGACAACUCCUGACACUGAGGCACGAAAGCUAGGGGAGCAAACAGG
rnacentral:rRNA from 1 species